GGAAUCUUCCACAAUGGACGCAAGUCUGAUGGAGCAACGCCGCGUGAGUGAAGAAGGGUUUCGGCUCGUAAAGCUCUGUUGUUAAAGAAGAACGUGGGUAAGAGUAACUGUUCAGGUAUUGACGGUAUUUAACCAGAAAGCCACGGCUAACUACGUGCCAG
rnacentral:rRNA from 1 species